UGGUAGAGGUACCACAGAAAUUUCCCUUACAGAUUCAGGUGAAAACAGCAGGCAUAUUAUUCAACAUAUUAUAUUACUAGAAAGGUUAUUGAUUUUUAUUAGAUGCACAGGCUAAGUUCCUUUCAGCCCACAUUUAUUUCUCUUACAAGACGGGAUUUGUUUAGUGUUUACUUUCAUGGUCGGUAAAGGUCUUGCAAGGCAUGGCAUGGAAGUGGUGUGAAAUUCACAUUCAAAGAACUUGUCUUAACAGUAGUGUGGUCUAGCCUCACCCAGAAAAGAUUUAAGAUUAACUAGUCUAGGCAGAGUCUUGUAGUAGCUGAAGUGAAAAGCUAGUUUAAAAGAAAGCCAAGGCUCCCUUACAAAUGAAGUGGCCAAUUAGCUGAGGUGAAAAGGAAAAGUCUUCCUAAGUGUUUUUUUCCACUAACUUAUCAUUUUCAAGUCAUUAUCAGGACAAGCAGAAGUUACUCCAGUCUCCUUUUGAUGAAUAGGAGUUGUCACCGCAAUUAUUUGGCUUUCUGUGGGUUGCCCAGGAUGCUGGAGGGUUCAUAGCAGUUUCCAUUAGAGCCAGCAUCUGAUGGAAAACUUCAAGACCAGCUCUAAAUCCAUUCCUUUCUUUGGGGCCCCACUCAUCCUGAAUGACAAUGAGAUGACUUUCCAAACUUGUUAGAGCCAUGCUGUCAAUAAAAAUGUCACCAGUAGGAGAGAACGUCUCAUCAAGACUUCAGUGUUGCCUCAUUUGUAAAGGGAGUUGCUAGACGCCUUGGAAAAGACACCUGUCAGGACAGAAGGGAGUAAUCAGCUUGGAUCUUGGAGAAAUUCCCAGUUAACACCAAAAAGCAAUCAACCAAUUCAAACUGUUGGUACAGUACAGGAAAUGGGGAAGAAGAGUGGUUGACUUUCUUCCUUCAUGUUUUGAAUAUCUAGAAUGAACUAAACCUGUGAAGCAUUCAACAAACAUUUACUGGAUACUGAUUAAGUGCAAGACACCUGUGGAGAAUUUGAGAUGGCUACAAUACUUGUACCUACCUUCCAUUGAGAAGCGGGAUCUUUGCUCCUAUCCUUGAAUCUGGGCAGGCUUUGGAACUGCUUUGACCAACAGAAUAUGGCAGAAAUGUUGCUGUACCACUUUUGAGGCCCAGACCUCCAAGAAACAAACAACUUGAGGUCUCCAAUUUCCUCUCUCAGGAUGCUCUCUCUGAGAGCUUCGAGCUGUCAUAUAAGAAGUCCAACGUUUGUGCCCACCACAUUGGCGAGGCCCCGGGCAGGCAAUCUAGUCAACAGUCCCAGCUGAGUCCAGGCUUCUAGCCAUCCCUGCCAAGGCACCAGACACAUGAGUGAGGCCGCCUGGAACCCCCCAGGUGAACCCACAAUAGAUGAACGUCAUCACUGUGUGGAAAGAAGACUCACCCAGCUGAGCCCAGCCCGUAUUUCCAAUCCACAAAAUCAUGAGAUGUAAUGACGGCCAUUUGAAGUCACCUAACAAUCCCAAGUUAGAGUAAACAUUCUGCUAAAAUCGGAACGCCAAUGUGCUUUGAGAGGCUGAAGUGACAAAUGAGCUGGUGUGGGUAAGGUGCACCCCACGGGGUGUGGCGUGCAGUACUCACUCAGCGAGAGGAGCUCUUUUCAGUGUUACUGGAGUGUCCCAAUGCUCCUCCUGGCUUUCAGCUUUUGCCUCUUGAUUCCUUCUCCACACCCCUGCCAGAACCAACUUCCCCAAGCAUAGUCAUGUGUGUAAUAGCACAGAUACCACUCAUUGCCCCUCAGCAUCAAAUCCUGUCUUCUUCCUCAGUAAGAGGGCUUUGAAUAUUAACUGGGUAUAUGGAGGCGCGGACUGAAGACUACACUUUCCAGCCUCCCAUGCAGCUGGAGGGGACCAUACAACCGAGUUUUGG